AUUGAACGCUGGCGGCAUGCCUUACACAUGCAAGUCGAACGGCAGCACGGGUGCUUGCACCUGGUGGCGAGUGGCGAACGGGUGAGUAAUACAUCGGAACGUACCUUAUCGUGGGGGAUAACGCAGCGAAAGUUGCGCUAAUACCGCAUACGCCCUGAGGGGGAAAGCGGGGGACCGUAAGGCCUCGCGCGAUUAGAGCGGCCGAUGUCUGAUUAGCUUGUUGGUGAGGUAAAAGCUCACCAAGGCGGUGAUCAGUAGCUGGUCUGAGAGGACGAUCAGCCACACUGGGACUAAGACACGGCCCAGACUCCUACGGGAGGCAGCAGUGGGGAAUUUUGGACAAGGGGGGCAGCCCUGAUCCAGCAAUGCCGCGUGAGUGAAGAAGGCCUUCGGGUUGUAAAGCUCUUUUGUCAGGGAAGAAACAGCAGCUCUAACACAGUCUGCGAAUGACGGUACCUGAAGAAUAAGCACCGGCUAACUACGUGCCAGCAGCCGCGGUAA
rnacentral:rRNA from 1 species